rnacentral:rRNA from 1 species
GGGGAAUAUUGCACAAUGGGCGCAAGUCUGACGCGGCGACGCCGCGUGAGCGAUGAAGGCCUUCGGGUCGUAAAGCUCUGUCCUUGGGGAAGAAGGUCUUCGGACUUGACGGUACCCAAGAAGAAAGCCCCGGCUAACUACGUGCCAGCAGCCGCGGUAAUACGUAGGGGGCGAGCGUUGUCCGGAAUUACUGGGCGUAAAGGGUGCGUAGGCGGCCCUUUAAGUCAGAUGUGAAAGCCCGCAGCUUAACUGCGGAAUUGCAUUUGAAACUGGAGGGCUUGAGUGUCGGAGAGGGUAGUGGAAUUCCCAGUGUAGCGGUGAAAUGCGUAGAUAUUGGGAGGAACACCAGUGGCGAAGGCGACUGCCUGGACGAUAACUGACGCUGAGGCACGAAAGCUAGGGGAGCAAAC